CGCGGCCUAUCAGCUAGUUGGCGGGGUAAAAGCCCACCAAGGCGACGACGGGUAGCUGGUCUGAGAGGACGACCAGCCACACUGGAACUGAGACACGGUCCAGACACCUACGGGUGGCAGCAGUCGAGAAUCUUUCACAAUGGGGGAAACCCUGAUGGAGCGACGCCGCGUGGAGGAUAAGGUCUUCGGAUUGUAAACUCCUGUCAUGCGUGAACAAGGCAGCCAGGCUAAUAACCUGUGCUGAUUGAUGGUAACGCAAGAGGAAGAGACGGCUAACUCUGUGCCAGCAGCCGCGGUAAUACAGAGGUCUCAAGCGUUGUUCGGAAUCACUGGGCGUAAAGGGUGCGUAGGUGGCGUGGUAAGUCAGAUGUGAAAGCCCGGGGCUCAACCUCGGAACUGCAUCCGAUACUACCAUGCUAGAGUACUGAAGAGGUGACUGGAAUUCCUGGUGUAGCGGUGGAAUGCGCAGAUAUCAGGAGGAACACCGAUGGCGAAGGCAGGUCUCUGGGCCAUUACUGACACUGAGGAGCGAAAGCGUGGGGAGCGAACAGGAUUAGAUACCCUGGUAGUCCACGCCGU
rnacentral:rRNA from 1 species